AUGGCCAAGGCGUUGUACGACAACAUGCCCGAGUCCCCCGAGGAGCUGGCCUUCCGGAAAGGGGACAUCCUGACCGUGAUUGAGCAGAACACUGGCGGCCUGGAGGGCUGGUGGCUCUGCUCCCUGCAUGGCCGCCAAGGCAUCGCCCCCGGCAACCGCCUGAAGCUGCUCAUCGGACCAAUGUUCGAGGCUCAGUCGUCGGCCGCCGCCGCCGCCCAGUCUCCUCCUCAGAGCUACCAGCAGAAGGCCGGCUCAGGGGCUCCGGGGCUUUACCAGAUGCCUUCGUCCCUGCAGAGUCCACAGCAGCAGCAGCAGCAGCAGCAGCAGAGCAUCUACCAGGUUCCUCCAGGACAGGAAGUCUACCAGGUCCCACCGAGGAGCACUCUGGCUGCAGAUAAAACACCCAGCAAGGUGGUGACCCCGACCAGAGUGGGACAGUCCUACACUUACAGCCCGGGACAGCACAACCAGCAGGACCUCUACGACGUCCCACCCAGUAGAUCACAGGGGGUGUACGAUAUUCCACCUGGUCAGAUGUUCUCGGGUCAACAAGCCGGAGCCAGAAACCAGGGAGUCUACGACGUUCCCCCGUCACAAAUGGACCUCCGGACACAAGGAGUUUAUGACAUACCUCCGUCCUCACAAGGGGUCUACUCGGUGCCUCCCUGCAGGACUAAUCCUGCCCUCCAAGAGGGGAACUACGACUUCCCGCAGCCUCUCAAGCACAAGCAGGAGGGCAUCUACGACGUCCCUCCCGCCGCCCUCACCAAACCAGCACAGAGCCCCCAGUCUCACUACGAUUUCCCCCCGAGCUCUGAGCCUUCUGCCCAUCACCAACAUCCAAACGUCAACGGCAACGAGGGCAUCUACGACGUGCCCCCGCCGGCCCUUCAUUCGGGGGCGGGGUCUCAGCGGGACGUGUACGACAUCCCCCGCGGCAUGCAGCCGUCCCAGCACAGAACCUCACCCGCCGACAGGGAUGGAAGUAAAGGAAUCUACGACAUCCCGGCUCAGGACGCCCGUGCGGUCGCGGACGUGACGGACGGCGUGAACCGGCUGUCGUUCUCCAGCACUGGCAGCACUCGCAGCAGCAUGUCCACCUCCUCGUCCUCCACCGGCUCCAGCUCCGAGGGCCGCCUGGCUCUGGACCUGGACGCUGCCGUGCAGAGGUUGUACCGCCUGCAGCAGGCAGUGGACCUCUCGGUCGGGGCUUUACAUUCAAUGGCAGCUUCGCCUCACUGGAGGACUUUUCCCUUCAUGGAGCGCCACGCUAACGACGUCCGCACGGUGCUGGACAGAGUCCGGGCUGCUCUGGGGGACUUCAUUGUGUUCGGUAGAGGAGCUGCAGUUAACGCCACAUCUCUAUCAGACUCCGGCCUGCACAGUAAGCUCAGAAGGCAGCUGGGUCGCCUGGAGGACUCGCAGCAGAUCCUUCUACAGAUCUACCAAGUCCUGGAGAACUGCAGCUGGGCUCUGAACGCCCUCGCCUCGUCUGGGAAGCACCACAACAAGAGCGACGACCUGGACCGCUUCGUCAUGGUCUCCAGGACGGUUCCCGACGACGCCAAGCAGCUGGCCUCCACGAUAGGCAGCAACGCCGAGCUGCUGUUCCGGCGGACGCACAUGGACGGGUCUUAUUCUGUGGGCAGCUCACCUGACGAGAACAUGAUCCACCCGCUCACCUCCCCCUCCUCAGAUAACGACAACUACGGCGGCCAGACCAAGCCCUUCCCUGUUCCCUCCAGCCAGGACAAAGACAACAUGAACAGUGAGAAGUGCGUGAAGAGCUGGAUGGAGGACUACGACUACGUACAUUUGCAGGGCAAAGAAGACUUUGAACGUCAGCAGAAGGAGCUGUUGGAGAAAGAAAACAUCAUCAAGCAGAGUCAAGUUCAGCUGGGUCAGGAACAGAUUAAUCAGUUCAAGAAGCUGGAGCAGGAUGUGAUCAAGCCCGUGGAGAACGACAUCACGCAGUGGAUUUCACACCAACACUCGGGGAUGACCUCGGCCUCCCCCUCAGACUCCUCACCCAUCUCCCCCUCCACCCCCGUGUGCGCUCGGGACCGCCAGCUGCUCAGCUUCUACUCCGAGCAGUGCGAGCAGCACUUCGUCACGCUCCUCAGCGCCGUGGACGCCUUCUUCGGCUGCGUCAGCGCCGGUCAGCCUCCUCGCAUCUUCGUCGCGCACAGCAAGUUCGUCAUCCUCAGCGCCCACAAACUGGUCUUCAUCGGAGACACUCUGUCCAGACAGGCCUCGGUGCCCGAGGUGGCCAACAGGGUGAUGAACUCCAGCAACGUGCUGUGUGAUCUGUUAAAGACGGUGGUGGCUGCGACGAAAACGGCCGCCCUAAACUACCCCAACACAGCUGCCAUCCAGGAGAUGGUGGACCGAGUCACUGACCUCUCACACCACGCACAGCAGUUCAAAGAACAGCUGCUGCAAAUGGCUAAUUUGUGAUUUUCAAUCGUGUCGCUCCUGUACAUUUCACCGUUUGUACAUUAAUCUGGCAUAAAUAUAUAUAUAUUUGCAGUAUAUAUAUGUUGCUCUCCAUCCUUAGGCCCGUUUUAGACGUUGUAAAUAGUCUCCGUUCUGUAAAUACCUGCUCUAUUUUUGUGUAGAUUGUUUUAUAUUAUGGUAUGAAUAUAUAUGUAGAUGCAGUACUGCUGUCUCCGUAGGAUCAUGUGGACAUUUUUCAUAACAUUCCUGUUGCAUAUUAUGAAGCACCUUAUGAGAUGUCCUGUUUUUCAUUUCAACUGUAGAAUGUGGUUGAUGUGUCUUACUGCUGGGUGUGACAGUAAAUCUCCUUGUAAAUCAUGUCAGUGUCGAUGUGUGUGGAGCUCUCCACAAAGUAAAGGACUGUUCUUAACCAUG